GUAAAUUUGUUUUUUGGAAGGGUCUAAUUUUCAUACACAGUGGAUUUGCCAUGGAAACACCGAGUAUGUGCACAAGAGUCCUGUUGGAUCUGGAAAAGUGAGGAACUUUGAAAAUGCAUCACACUGCCUGCGUACUGAUGCUCCCCAAAUUCUAUAUCCGCCUGGAAUCAGCAUGGCUGCAAGAACAUCUUCUCUCUGCCGGUCAGGGACACUCUCCUCAGCAGAGUGGCCCUUUCCAAAGCUGAAACAACUUCUGCCUCUACUUGCAUGGCUUCCCAAAGGCUGGAUCCUUGUGGGAAUGCAUUUCAAAAGGGAAGAAUCAACUGAUUUCGGGGCAUGCAAUCAAGACCCUAGGUAUCAGUAUGAAGGAGUUCUUCAUAUAAUGUGGAUAUGAGCCUCAGUUAGGUAUGUGUAUAGUAAAGAGUUUCUCCCAGUCUGUGGCUGCCCUUUUCCCUUUAUUCAUGAUGUCUUUUAAUACACAUAAAUUUUAAUUUUGAUAAAGCCCCAGUCACCUCUUUACAAAUUUUAUGCUUAUUGCUUUUUUGUGUCUUAAAAUAUCUUUGCCUACCUGAACAUCAUGAAGACAUUCUCCCAUGUUCUCUUCUCAAGAACUUCACUAUUAGUUUUCAGACUUAGGUUUAUGAUCCAUCUCAAGUUAAUAUUAGUGUUUGGUGUGAGGUAGGUGGUCAAGAUUUUUUUUCCAUAUGGAUAUCUGGUUGCUCCAGCAACAUUUAUUGAAAAGAACUUUCUUUUUCCUAUCUAACUGUUUGGCACCUUUGUCAAAAAUCAUUUGACUAUAGGUGUAGUCAUUUUUAUCCAACAAGUUUUGGGUGGGUGGCAGCAGACAUUUGGUCUGGAGCUAUACUACCUGGACAAGAAGGUAUCAGGGUCAUGAACUUGUCCUCAUAGUGCAAAGAUUUCUGGUCACUUCCAUUUCCCAGUCACCUUUGUGAAUUACUACUUGGAAGUUUUAUGUUACCACCAAGCCUUGGUUUUGCUGUCAAAUACCCA
rnacentral:lncRNA from 1 species